GAUAAUCAGAUCCGCAUGAAGCUGCUGCUGCUCGGUCGGACUCUACGCCCGUCAAGAAGUUUGAAGUUUUGGAAACAACGGAGACUUUUAGAGUCAUUUAAAAAGUGUAGCUGUUCAGUCUUGUCUUGUUUUUCUCUACUUCACCGUCCCGGACCCACGGGGGACCGAGGAGUUUCUCCAGACGGGACCGAAACUCUUCGCCUAGCCGUUAGGAUGGAACUUUAACGAACAGUUUUUUUUUUUGAUCCGUCUCCAUGGAAACGGAAGCCCCGCCCAAAUCCUCAGAGAUCAGAGACGAUCUCACUCAUCUGAGAGAGACAUCGUGGACUGUCAGUGAUCGACAAUCAAACAGCCUUCAUGGAGACGUGUCCAAAACACUGAGAUGAACAAAAGUGGGAUCAUGUUGGAGUGGUUAAACAACACCGCCUCCACAGUAAAGAGUCACAGUGACCCCCUGACCCUCCAAACAGCAGGAGGCCGACCCUCAGUGAAGAGGCGGGAAUGUUUGAGCCUUUAUUGACCGCCGCCGACACUCAGCUCUGCGUUGUCCCCGCUGCUAAAUGACGUGUGUGUCGGUAUGUGUUUGUGUGUUAGCUGUCGGGGAGGACGAGCGGCGCUGAAUGGACGCUCACUUUCUCACAUCAGUAAAUUCGAGCCAUAGAGAAAAAGUCUCUCAGAGACGUGGGGCCGACUGUCAGAGCUACACGGUGAACAUUUGAGUUACAUUCACAGCGUUGGGUGAAAACAAAACAGAAGUUCUGGUUCAUUUCUUUUAUUAAAAUGAACAAAAAAAACAAUGUUUCGUCCCUGAUUUAGCCAGCGUCACCUCCUCUGCUCUCCGACUGCCCGUAAGAAACAUACUCAUACACUUUUGUGUCUUACUAAGACGACAAAACGGGAUGCAAAUAUUAUCAGUAUUUGACGACUUUUGUAUUUGAACCGACCACUUAAGGAUUUAUGUAAAAGUCGAGAUUCUUAUCUUCUGAGAUUUUAGAUAGAUUCAUAACUUUUCUUUUGUUGGCUAACCAGUC